GGCGGCGUGCUAAUACAUGCAGUCGAGCGCCUUCACAUUGCCCAUGAGUAAUCUCGUGGUCAGCGUGAAGGAGCGGCGGACGGGUGAGUAACGCGUAGGAAUGUACCCCACAGUGAGGAAUAAGCCAGAGAAAUCUGGUCUAAUACCGCAUACGGUCUUCGGAUUAAAGCCUUCGGGCGCUAUGGGAACAGCCUGCGUAAGAUUAGCUAGUUGGUAAGGUAAAAGCUUACCAAGGCUACGAUCUUUAGCUGGUUUGAGAGGAUGACCAGUCACACUGGAACUGAGACACGGUCCAGACUCCUACGGGAGGCAGCAGUAGGGAAUUUUCCACAAUGGACGAAAGUCUGAUGGAGCAACGCCGCGUGCAGGAUGAAUGCCUUAGGGUUGUAAACUGCUUUUCUGAUCGAAGAUUAUGACGGUAGAUCAGGAAUAAGGAUCGGCUAACUCCGUGCCAGCAGCCGCGGUCAUACGGAGGAUCCAAGCGUUAUUCGGAGUGACUGGGCGUAAAGAGUUGCGUAGGCGGUUUGUUAAGCGAGAUGUGAAAUCCAAGGGCUCAACCCUUGAACUGCAUUUCGAACUGGCAGACUGGAGUAUAUGAGAGGAAGUUGGAAUUCCUAGUGUAGGAGUGAAAUCCGUAGAUAUUAGGAGGAACACCAAUGGCGAAGGCAGACUUCUGGCAUAUUACUGACGCUGAGGCACGAAAGCGUGGGGAGCGAACGGGAUUAGAUACCCCGGUAGUCCACGCCGUAAACGAUGGAUGCUAGCUGUAUGGGGUAUCGACCCCCUGUGUAGCGAAGCUAACGCGUUAAGCAUCCCGCCUGGGGAGUACGGUCGCAAGAUUAAAACUCAAAGGAAUUGACGGGGACCCGCACAAGCGGUGGAGCGUGUGUUUAAUUGGAUGAUAAGCCUANAACCUUACCCAGACUUGACAUCCUGGGAAUUCUUCGAAAGUAAAAAGUGCCUUUGGAACCAAGUGACAGGUGUUGCAUGGCCG
rnacentral:rRNA from 1 species